AAAACUCGUAUUUCUACUAAAGCGCACCAAAGCCUACUUCCCUGAAUUUAAUAAUAUGCUACUAUUUCACAUUAACGGAUGGUGAAGGCCACGAAAUAACGAGCAGACCCAUGAUAGUGAUAGAUAGUGAUGAUAAGAAGACCUGCCGUGAUUGAAAUGACUUGUGAAAAUGACUGCAAUAAUGAUGGUGAUAAUGAGAACCAGUGGAAGUAGCGAGGGCAGGAUAAUGGCCAUAAUGAUGAUAAUGAUGAUGAGAGCCUACAAUGACGAUAGUUAACGAUGAUAGUAUAAUAGCCUGGGAGAAUGAGUGCAGUGAUGAUGAUGAUGAUAAUGAUGACAACCAGUAAUGUCGAUAGUGCAAUGAACGAUGCUUGUGUAAGGUCCCGUGACAAUGACGAGGUGUGUGGAUGGUGAUUUCUAUGAUGAUGUUAUUGAUGGUGAUGGUGGUGUUGGUGAUAAUGAUAAUGAUAAUGAUGAAAACCUUAGCAUGAUGGUGAUAGUGGAAUAAACAGAGGGUGGUAAUUUAUUAUAUUAGAGAAAUUGUAUUAACACAGUGAAAAACAUCCCAAAUGGCACUCAGUGGUGUUCAUUGAAGAUCGUGGUAAUAAUAUAAGAACAUAAGAACGUAAAGUGUACACCACAAGGCGUCCAAAUCAAACUAUAGUCUCCACAAUGAUCCGUUAUUUUGACUCAACACCAGAGACUAAUAAAGAGAUUUCCUGUGUGGUUUCUUAAAAAAUUCUCCUUCCUUAUAUACCGACGUCAAACUCUAGAGCUACAAGGAAUUUUCGUCGUAUUUUGUGUUCCGUUGGAAAGCUUAGAAACUUGCUGUAUUGGACUGUAAAACUGGACCAAUGUUCCCAGAGACAAAAGUACCGGUGGGGAUGAUUGAUGACGAUGGCAAAAGUACGGAUGAGAGUUACAGUGGUGGUGGUGGUGUGGGUGCGGUGGAGACGUUCUGCAGGGUCCAUGUGGUAUCUUUGAGUCUAGUGGAGGAGGCUCGAAAUUAGUGUGGGAUCUAUAUUGAAGGUGAUUAGGAAGAGAGAGAGAGAGAGAGAGAGAACUGUAAAAGAAAAUGAUGUCUGAGUAAGUCGUAUACAAACUACUUCUUUAUUCUAUGUCAUUGUAAUUAUAUAUGUACACACAGGUAGACUGGUGUACGUAUGUAUGUAUGGAUGGAUGGAUGGAUGGAUGGAGGAAGACAACAAAAGAACAAUUGAAAGGAAUGACAAGUGGAUGGAGUGAGUCAUAUACUUUUUACAUUCCGCUUUGAUAGAGUUUGUCUUAUCUCUUUUUUGUCUCUAGGUAUGUAUGUACUUAUAAUGUGUGUGUGUGUGUGUGUGUGUGUGUGUGUGUGUGUGUGUGUGUGUGUGUGUGUGUGUGUGUGUGUAAAACAAAUAAUGCAAAUAAAUCUAGUACAAAAUUAUAAAAGAAAAAAAACAUAUAUUGUGUAGAAUAGCAUGAUCAACAAUUGGUGGUUAAGGAAAAAGAAAACAUAGAAAAGAGGGCGAUGAAAAGUGUAAUAAGUAGUAAAGGAACACUGCACAGAAAAGUGUUAGUGGUACAGAAAUGGUCCACGGAGGAAUAUGAGUGGUAAAGAAACACUGUACAGGAAAGUGAUAAAUGGUGGAGAAAUACUAUAGUGAAUAACGUAAGAAUCGACAAUUAUGAACUGGUGGAGAAAUACUGUAGUGAAUAAUAUAGGAAUCGACAAACAAUAACUGGCUGAAGAAAUCCUGUCGUGAAUAAUAUAAGAACUAACAAACAAACGCAGAUCAAAACAGUAACUCCCAGAGACAGAAGAAAAGCGAGAAAGAAGCGAAAGAAAGAUGUUUAAGUAAGUCAAAGAAAAAAAAAACAAAUAAGUAAAUAAAUAAAUAAAUACGAGUAAAAGAAAGAAUAAAGCAGUACAAAGAAACGUGUAUGAAAGUAAUAAAGACACGUGACCGGGGAAGGUGAGGUGAGCGGCGGUCAUGUCGCAGCGCCAAGCCUAACAAAACACGCAAGUCUUCGCCGGUAGAUAAGAGAUUAGAUAAAAGGAAGUGUUAUCAGCCCGACCUGCCCGCUCGCUUUACACUGCUACAGCGGCGAAGGGAAGGAAAGGGGGGGGGGGGGGAGGAAGGGAAUAGGAGAGGGGGGGGGGGGAGGAAAUGGAAGAGGAAGGAAAGAAAGGGAAGGGAAGGAAAGAGGGGAGAGGAAAGAGAAUGAAGGAAGGGAACGGAGGGAGGAAGGAUUGGAGAAAGGAAAGGAAGGGAAGGAAAUGGCGGGAGGAAGGGAAGGGAGGGAGGAUUGGAGAGAGGAAGGGAAGGGAAGGAAAUGGAGGUAGGAACGGAAGGGAAGGGAAGGGAGGGAGGGAGGGAGGAAGGGGAGAGGAGUAAUUAGAAGAGGAGGAAAGAAGGAAAGGAGGAAAGGAGGAGGGGUGAGGAAGGGAAGGGAAGGGAAGAGGAAGGAAAUGAAGGGAAAAGGAAGGACAUUAAGAGAAGAGGAAGGAAAUGGAAUUGAGAGAGGAAGGGGAAAGGGUGGAGGAAGGGAAGACAGGGGAGAAAAGGAACUGAGGGAGGAAGGGAAGAGCAGGGAGAAAGGGAAUGGAGGUAGGAAAGGAAGGGAGGGAGAAUGGAAGAGGCGGUAGGAAGGAAAUUGAGGGAGGAAGGGACGGGCGCCGGCAGAGGGAAGGGAGAGGGAGACGGGAAGGCAAGGAGAGCGGGAGGGAGGAAGGACGAGAGGGGAGAGAGAGGAGGGGAAGGGUAAUUGAGCUGACGUGUUUUAUAACCUCAUUUAAUACCCGAUAAUGCUAAUGACAGGUAUUUGCAGUGCUCAGGUGGAGGUGGUAGCGAUAGCGGUGACAUGUGUACUGGUGGUGGUGGUGGUGGUGGUGAUGGUGGUGGGACGGUAGGGGUGUUUGAGGUAAUGACCCAGAAAGUGGUGGUGCAUAGACACGGUGUUGAAGGGUUAGAGGUGGUGGUGUUGGUGUUGGUUGGAGAUGGUGGUGUUGCAGGGGAUAUGAUAGUGAAGUGGUGUUGGAAAUGGUGGUGGUAUUGAAGGUGAUACGAUAGUGGAAUGGAGUUGGAGGUGGUGGUGUUGAAAGUGAUAAGGAUAAUGGAGUGGUGUUUUAGGUGAUUAUGGUAGUGAUGUCAUAGUGGAGUUAUAGUGCAGGUGGUGGUGGUGAAGGGGAUGAGGUUAAUGGAGUGGUGUUGUAGGUGAUGGUGAUGAAGGUGGUGUAAUAUUGUAGUGGUGUUAUAGGGGAUGAGAAUAGAGGAAUGGUGAUUGCGGAGUGGUGUUGGUGGUGAUGAUAGUGGAGGUAGCAGUAGUGGUGAUGAUGAUGGUGUUGCAAAUAAUGGUGAUGAAAUGGAUAUAAUAUUGGAGUGGUGUUGUUGGUGAUGAGGAUAGGGGAAUGGUGAUAUCAGAGUGGUGGUGUAGGUGGUGAUGAUAAUAGUGGAAUGGUGUUGAAGGUAGUGAUGGUGUAGGUGAUGAUGAUAAUGGUGUUCAGUGAAAGGUGAUAAGGGUAGUGGGGAGGUGAUAGUGGAGUGGUUUGGUGAUGAUGAUGAUGAUGAUAGGAAAAUGGUGUUGAAGGUGGUGGUGAUGACAGUAAUGACGAUACUGGAAUGGUAUUGUAUAGGUGGUGAAUGUGAUGAUAAUGGAGGUAGUGACAGUGAUGAUGGUGAUGAUAUGGUGGUGGUGGUGAACAGAGGUAGUAGUAGUGGUAUUGUAGGGGGUAAUGGUUGUGGAGGUUGUAGUGGUGGUGGUGGUAGAGAUGAUGAUAGCAAUACCAGAUGUAGUUUUAUAUACCAUACAUAUCAGAUAACAGCGCGCGUUGCCUCCUAAUGAGCGGUAAGCUAACGUAAUGUAUCUCCGAGGCAACUCCAUUACGUGAUUAUGUUGGGCCGUCAAGAUUAACGUACCCAGUGUUUUAAGCUCUCCCUGACUACAACUCCUUCCUGUUUUAUUUUUAUCUUUGUUGUAGUUAAUCGUAGUUACUUUUAUGUCUGUCUGUGCUGUGUGUUUAGCUCUCUCUGCCUUCCUUCUCUUUUGUUUUGUCUGUGUUUUAGUCGGUCUAAGUUAGUUUUAUGUCUGUGUGUCUGUGUAGUGUUUUAAACUUUCUGAUUGGAAUACUUCUUUCUCUUUAUCUGUCUGGGUGUCUCGGUUUGGUGUAAGUUUUCUCUGUCUGUCUGUCUUUCUGUCCUACUUUCUGUCUGUGUGUUUGUCUGUACGUAGUGUUUGAAGCUCUCUGAUUACCUUCCCUUUUUUCUGUAUGUCCGUGUCUGUCUGUCUGUUUCAGUUUGGUUUAAUUAUCUCUGCUUCUGUAUUUCUUUCUGUCUGUCUGUCUCUAUCUAUCUAUCAAUAUAUCUAGCUUUGUCUAUCUAUCUAUCUAUAUCUAUCUAUCUAAUCUAUCUAUGUCUAUCUGUCGCGUGUGUGUGUGUGUGUGUGUGUGUGUGUGUGUGUGUGUGUGUGUGUGUGU